UACACCUCAAUUACCGGAAUAUAAACACAGACUCAGCUACUUGUACAAUUUACUGUGACAUUUAAGUAUGCAGCAGACGGGACUCAUGAAUUUUCUUUGGU